UGGACAGUGUGGAUAUCCGUGAGCAUGCACGUUACCAAAGUCGCAUCAAUCAGCAUCCUCCACAGUGCUGACAGAUAACUUCAGAUGUUGCGGGAAGGAAAAAUAAGUGAGGCUUCCUAACCUGCUUAAAUGAACCACACCAGAUGAAUUGAAAUUCAAUCUUCUAUUAUAACUGGAAAAACAGCAAGAAAAUGCAGAAACACAGUGCUACUCCUUAUGAUAACAGCAAAUAUUCUUUGAGCUCCUUCUUGGUGUCAGCAUUCUGGGUGCCCUGAAGAGAGUGACAGAGACAGAGAGUCAGAUCAUCCUGUCACUGGUCCAUUCCCAAAAUGACAGCAACAACUGGGAAUGGGCCAGGAAAAAUAGGAACCUAGACUUGAUCCAAGCACCGAGGCAGUCCUAUGUGGGAUGUGGACAUCCCACGUGGUAUCCUAACCAAUGUUCUAAACACUCACACCAACAUCCUGCAUACUUCAGAGGUGAGUGAGUUAAGGUGCACUGAUAAUCUGGGUGUCACCUUUUCUGGGGCAGGCUGAGCAGGCUGCACCACCUGAGCAUGUGCUCAGGCUGUCCAUGGGCCACUUGCCCUGUGCUCUGCUUUCCUGGCCAGUGGCCUUGGGUACCAAGAACCAGGUCCAAGAUGAGUGGAUUUCUCACUAGGAGAGCUGUGCUGGCUCUUCUGCUGUCUGCCCUGAUGAACCACAGUGCCACCAAAAUAGCUUUCCUGAAGCCGGAGCCUACCUACACAUGGUGCUUGCUCCCUAGCAGCAAAGCCCCAGGGUGCCUGCUCAGAAGGCUGCUGUGGCCCUGGCCUCUACCACCAGUAGUCAUUGAGGCCCAGACCUGGCUCCUGGUGCUUGCACAAACUGCACAUCAGCAAAUGCGUGACUGACAGUACCAGCAGCACUCGACCAGUCACAACUGGCAGGGUUGCAUGUCCAUGCACUGCGUGCCCUGCAGCCUCUACUAGCUGUUCUCCAACAGUAAUGCA